GAUGAACGCUAGCUACAGGCUUAACACAUGCAAGUCGAGGGGAAACGACAUCGGAAGCUUGCUUUUGAUGGGCGUCGACCGGCGCACGGGUGAGUAACGCGUAUCCAACCUGCCCACCACUUGGGAAUAACCUUGCGAAAGUAAGACUAAUACCCAAUGACGUCUCUAGAAGACAUCUGAAAGAGAUUAAAGAUUUAUCGGUGAUGGAUGGGGAUGCGUCUGAUUAGCUUGUUGGCGGGGUAACGGCCCACCAAGGCGACGAUCAGUAGGGGUUCUGAGAGGAAGGUCCCCCCACAUUGGAACUGAGACACGGUCCAAAACUCCUACGGGAGGCAGCAGUGAGGAAUAUUGGGUCAAUGGACGAGAGUCUGAACCAGCCAAGUAGCGUGCAGGAUGACGGCCCUAUGGGUUGUAAACUGCUUUUAUAAGGGAAUAAAGUGACGUCUCGUGAGACUUUUUGCAUGUACCUUAUGAAUAAGGACCGGCUAAUUCCGUG
rnacentral:rRNA from 1 species